AAUAGAAAAUUACAAAAUUACUAGUUACGGCCAACCAAUUGUUGAAUUGUUGAAAGUUAUUUAAUUUUUAUAUAAUUAUCAAGUUUCUUAAAUCCCUUACAGCUUACUUCUAGUGAGUCCAUCAAUGAUGUUGAAGAAACAAACAGGAACAGAUGUAUUUAUAAUUCCCCAAAUUUAUGUGUGUGUGUGUGCUGGCAGGAUGUGUGGCCUGUAGAUCUGAAGAAUCAUUCCACAGCCAUGCAAUGCAUGGUGACAGUUCAAAAGCAGUAGGCAAAGCCCACCUGACUAUUGACCUUCGACCUGAUGGUGAAUACUAAAACUGAGGUUGAAACAAGCAAAGAAAGGCGAUAUGGAGGACAGAAAAAAUGUAGAAUUUGAUAUCUUCCCAAAUUCAUAUCUUGAGAAACAUUUUAAGAGUAUUUGAAAACAAUUGACACAGCAAAAGACACAAGCGUCAACUUCAGAAUGUUUUACACCAAAAGCAGAAAAAUUUUGUUGCAGCGAAAUCUAUAGCGAGUAGAAGCAGGGAUUUCAUAUGGACCAAUUAAAAGCCAGCAAGCCAAGCAGAGUACCCAGUUCACAUGUCAGGAUGAAUGAGUCUUAUCUCAAUAGCGCCCUCUAUGAUAGUGUCUGGAGUGCAGUUGAAACAUUGAAUAAAGCUCGCUAUUCAACAUCAAUGAUGAAAGACUACAACCAGCAUUGGAAGAGCUGCAGUCCUGUGAUGAUCCAAAUGGGCAACAGUUGGCUGGCUGUAAAUGUCAUUUAGUCUUAUAAGUGGACAGAUGAAAAAUUUGAAAAAGUCAACUACUGCCGCUAUAGUCAUUUGAAAGGGACACCUGAGUAGUCGUGAAUAAUAAACUGAACUCAUUCAGCUGAUGAAGUCUUGUUGACAACAAGACGAAAGCUAGCAAUUACUAUGAAGGAGAUGAGACAAUGUAUGCCACUAAAUCCACCCAGCAGCCCUCAGCAAGGCAGAAACCCUUGGGGGUCACACAUAGGCUUAGCCUAGUGAGCCUUGGACACACCCAAAGCUCGGUAUUCAACAUCAAUGAUGAAAGAUACGACCAGCAUUGGAAGAGCUGCAGUCCUGUGAUGAUCCAAAUGGGCAACAGUUGGCUGGCUGUAAGUGUCAUUUAGUCUUUAAGUAGACAGAUGAAAAAUUUGAAAAAGUCAAGUACUGCCGCUAUAGUCAUUUGAAAGGAAUUACUAUGAAGGAGAUGAGACAAUUAUGCCACUAAAUCCACCCAGCAGCCCUCAGCAAGGCAGAAACCCUUGGGGGUCUCACAUAGGCUUAGCCAGCGAGCCUUGGACACACCCGUGCAUAGUGGUUCCAGGAUUUCCAAGUUCAAACAUCUUAUUGAUUUCUACUCGUAUGUUAAUAUGAAAGAAAUGGUCUUCAAUGGAGAAUUUGGUUACUGGAAACCAAAAAGAACAAUUGGAGACAGAAGUUUUGCACGAAAGACAGAAAAAUUCAUUUAUAUACGAAAGCACAGUAAAGUCUAUGGUGAAUAGAAGCAGGGCCUCGCUGGUUUCAGAUGAACCAAUUAAAAGCCAGCAAGUUGAGCAGAGUACCCAGUCCACAUAUGACAGCAUGAAUGAUGAGUCUAAUCUCAAUAGUGCCCUCUAUGAUAGUCAGGAAUGCAGUUGAAACAUUGAAUAGUAACAGUAUAGAGGUAAUAGAGCAUCUUUUAAAUUUUUUAUGUUAAUUUGCUUGAAUUUUGUUUUACAAUAUUGUGAAGUCAGCCUAUUGAAAGAGCAUCUAAAAAAACAGUCAAAAUAAAACAUAAAAAAUGACUUUGAAUGGCAUAGUAAGUAUCUACUAUUGCAUGCUUAAAAUUCUCAAUUUUGAAUUGUGAAUAAAAAUAAUAGUAAAUAAACACAAAGAAACUAUGAUGAGGUUGUUUACUAAAUCCUACAAGGUAGUGUGGCUUCAUAGCUCAGUUGUUAGAGUAAUAAUCUUAAUAAUAAUAUUAUUUUUAUUUUUCUCAUUCUAAUUGUAAAUUGGAAAUUUGAACUAGGGGACCAAUGACAGUGCAGUGUUAACUGAC